CUGCCCAGUGACACUAGUUCAACGGCCGCGGUAUCCUAACCGUGCAAAGGUAGCAUAAUCACUUGCCUAUUAAUUGUAGGCUAGAAUGAAAGGAUGUACGAAAUAAAAACUGUCUCUAUCAAUAAAAUAAAAAUUAAUAUUUACAUGAAGAAGUGUAGAUAUAUUCGUAAUACAAGAAGACCCUAUAGAGCUUAAUCAAAAAACAAAUAAUAAUUGUUAUAAAAUUCGGUUGGGGCGACCAAGGGGGUAAAAAAACACCCUUAAUUAAAAAGACUUAUAAAUCUAAAUAAUGACCCUUGUAAGAUCAUAAAAUCAAGCUACCUUAGGGAUAACAGGCUAAUCCUAUUAUAGAGUUCUUAUUGACACUAGGAUUUGGCACCUCGAUGUUGGCUUAGGGUAUCUAUAUAGUGCAAAAG
rnacentral:rRNA from 1 species